AAGGUAGCGAAAUUCCUUGUCAGGUAAGUUCUGACCCGCACGAAAGGCGUAAUGAUCCCUUCGCUGUCUCGGCUAUAGACUCGGUGAAAUUUUAGUACCAGUGAAGAUGCUGGUUACCCGCAACUAGACGGAAAGACCCCGUGGAGCUUUACUAUAACUUAAUAUUGAAUCUUGGUGUAACAUGUAGAGGAUAGGUGGGAGACUUUGAAGCGAUUACGCUAGUGGUCGUGGAGUCAUCCUUGGAAUACCACCCUUGUUACAUUGAGGUUCUAACCUAGACCCGUUAUCCGGGCCAGGGACAGUGUUUGGUGGGUAGUUUGACUGGGGCGGUCGCCUCCUAAAAUGUAACGGAGGCGCUCAAAGGUACCCUCAGUACGGUUGGAAAUCGUACGAAGAGCGCAAAGGCAUAAGGGUGCUUAACUGCGAGACUUACAAGUCGAACAGAUGCGAAAGCAGGACUUAGUGAUCCGGCGGUCCCGUGUGGAAGGGCCGUCGCUCAACGGAUAAAAGUUACCCCGGGGAUAACAGGCUGAUCUCCCCCAAGAGUUCACAUCGACGGGGAGGUUUGGCACCUCGAUGUCGGCUCAUCGCAUCCUGGAGCUGUAGUCGGUUCCAAGGGUUGGGCUGUUCGCCCAUUAAAGCGGUACGCGAGCUGGGUUCAGAACGUCGUGAGACAGUUUGGUCCCUAUCUGUUGUGGGCGUAGGAAAAUUGAGAAGAGCUGUUCCUAGUACGAGAGGACCGGAAUGGACGCACCCCUGGUGCUCCUGUUGUCACGCCAGUGGCACAGCAGGGUAGCUAUGUGCGGAAAGGAUAAUCGCUGAAGGCAUCUAAGCGAGAAGCCUCCUUCAAGAUGAGUUUUCCCAUUCUUCGGAAGUAAGAUCCCAUGUAGACCACAUGGUUGAUAGGUUGGGUGUGUACGCACGGCGACGUGUUUAGCUAACCAAUACUAAUAGAUCGAGGUCUUUCAAAG
rnacentral:rRNA from 1 species